UACGUAGGGGGCAAGCGUUAUCCGGAUUUACUGGGUGUAAAGGGGGCGCAGACGGCGAUGCAAGCCAGGAGUGAAAGCCCGGGGCCCAACCCCGGGACUGCUCUUGGAACUGCGUGGCUGGAGUGCAGGAGGGGCAGGCGGAAUUCCUGGUGUAGCGGUGAAAUGCGUAGAUAUCAGGAGGAACACCGGUGGCGAAGGUGGCCUGCUGGACUGCAACUGACGUUGAGGCCCGAAAGCGUGGGGAGCAAACAGG
rnacentral:rRNA from 1 species